UCGACACAAAAUUAUUCCAACAUAUAUCUACUAAAGGUGGAGGGAAUCCCCAACUACCACUGUGAAUGACAAUCAGUUCCAUUUCCAUAUUGGAUAUAAUCUAAUAACCACGGUCGUACUUCGUCACUAUGGCCUUACAUAUAACAUUGCGAAUCCACUCUCAUCAGAGAUAUGCCAAUCUCAUUCACAAGAAGUUGUUCACUAACAUUUUAAGAUGUAGAGUAGAAAGAGAUAAAAGUCUCGAAGAGAUACUAAUCAAACGGAUUUUUAUUCUUUCCUCUUUAUUAUUUUGUUUUCAUUCAUAACGGUCACACAUUUAGAACUCAGUGGGGGUCUAAUACCAUAUCCAGCCCAAGGCCCCCUAGAAUGACCCUCUUUACCAUUAGCAAAGGUAAAGUAAAGGACCAAACCCAUAUGUACUUGAUGCGGGAAGGUAUGUGGAGGAUCGAAUAAACUCUUAUAACCCACUCAAUGAAUGCAAUACUAAAACUUAAUCGUCUAGAAAAUAUCUCCCUCUAAUUGAAUCUGCAAUCCUAAAAGGAAUGUAAAAACAAAGAAUAAGGAAUAAAAAUAAGGAAAGAAAAAAAGUCAUGAUCCCUAUUCUUUGGCUCAACAAGACUUCUGAAAAAUCUUGCUUCUUGAAGAACUUGAAGAAGUUAGAUAUGCAAAAAUGCUA
rnacentral:lncRNA from 1 species